AGUGAACGCUGGCGGUAGGCCUAACACAUGCAAGUCGAACGGCAGCACAGUAAGAGCUUGCUCUUACGGGUGGCGAGUGGCGGACGGGUGAGGAAUACAUCGGAAUCUACUUUUUCGUGGGGGAUAACGUAGGGAAACUUACGCUAAUACCGCAUAUGACCUACGGGUGAAAGCAGGGGAUCUUCGGACCUUUCGCGAUUGAAUGAGCCGAUGUCGGAUUAGCUAGUUGGCGGGGUAAAGGCCCACCAAGGCGACGAUCCGUAGCUGGUCUGAGAGGAUGAUCAGCCACACUGGAACUGAGACACGGUCCAGACUCCUACGGGAGGCAGCAGUGGGGAAUAUUGGACAAUGGGCGCAAGCCUGAUCCAGCCAUACCGCGUGGGUGAAGAAGGCCUUCGGGUUGUAAAGCCCUUUUGUUGGGAAAGAAAAGCAGCAGGUUAAUACCCCGCUGUUCUGACGGUACCCAAAGGAUAAGCACCGGCUAACUUCGUG
rnacentral:rRNA from 1 species